rnacentral:rRNA from 1 species
GACAGAGGGUGCAAACGUUGUUCGGAAUUACUGGGCGUAAAGCGCACGUAGGCGGCUUUGUAAGUUAGAGGUGAAAGCCCGGAGCUCAACUCCGGAAUUGCCUUUAAGACUGCAUCGCUUGAAUCAUGGAGAGGUGAGUGGAAUUCCGAGUGUAGAGGUGAAAUUCGUAGAUAUUCGGAAGAACACCAGUGGCGAAGGCGACUCACUGGACAUGUAUUGACGCCGAGGUGCGAAAGCGUGGGGAGCAAACAGG